rnacentral:rRNA from 1 species
UACGGAGGGUGCAAACGUUGCUCGGAAUCAUUGGGCGUAAAGGGUGCGUAGGUGGCGCCGUAAGUCAGGUGUGAAAUCCCGGGGCUCAACCCCGGAACUGCACUUGAUACUGCGGUGCUCGAGUACUGGAGAGGAGAUUGGAAUUUACGGUGUAGCAGUGAAAUGCGUAGAUAUCGUAAGGAAGACCAGUGGCGAAGGCGAAUCUCUGGACAGUUACUGACACUGAGGCACGAAGGCCAGGGGAGCAAACGGG